rnacentral:rRNA from 1 species
AAUAGAUACCCCGGUAGUCCACGCCGUAAACGAUGGGUACUAGGUGUGGGAGUUGUCAUGACUUCCGUGCCGCCGUUAACACAAUAAGUACCCCGCCUGGGGAGUACGGUCGCAAGAUUAAAACUCAAAGGAAUUGACGGGGGCCCGCACAAGCAGCGGAGCAUGUGGUUUAAUUCGAAGCAACGCGAAGAACCUUACCUAGACUUGACAUCUCCUGAAUUACCCUUAACCGGGGAAGCCCUUCGGGGCAGGAAGACAGGUGGUGCAUGGUUGUCGUCAGCUCGUGUCGUGAGAUGUUGGGUUAAGUCCCGCAACGAGCGCAACCCUUAUUAUUAGUUGCUACCAUUAAGCUGAGCACUCUAGUAAGACUGCCCGGGUUAACCGGGAGGAAGGUGGGGAUGACGUCAAAUCAUCAUGCCCCUUAUGUCUAGGGCUACACACGUGCUACAAUGGUAGGUACAACAAGAUGCAAAGCCGUGAGGUGGAGCAAAACUGUAAAACCUAUCCCAGUUCGGAUUGAAGGCUGAAACUCGCCUUCAUGAAGCCGGAGUUGCUAGU